UGAGCGCAUGUUGAUUUCUUAUGUUAGCAACUUCGAUGUACUUCAAUAGUAAUUCGAUGCAAGAUUAUAGAUUAGAACAAGAAGUGGAUGCUGUUUACACAUUUUUGGAUGUCAGCUUUCUCCGAGGCGAGAAAUACGGCCAUAUUGGCAACAUCUUCCACUGUUGCAACUAUCGUGUUGACAAAUAAUAUCUUUACUUAGUUCGUUGCUCAACGUUUAGUACGAACAAGUUAGUAUGUUGGUAUAGGUACAGGCUAAUAUUAACCGAUGUACUGCAGACAGUUUUAAGCUUUAACUAACGUUCAAAGGCGUGCAGUGCAUGGACUUUAUACAUGCACGGCGUAAUAAUUUCUUUUUCUAUAUUGUUCAAUGACAUUUAACUUGUAGUUUUCAGUCACGAAAUAUUACCAUGAAAUAAUCCAUCAUUGCUUAUUUUGCAACAACUGCAUUAUAGUCACUCCACAGACUUAUAUACAUGCACAGAGUACGAAAUUCGUUUCCAUGCCUUUCAUUUUUCACUUUACUUGUCAUACUCAGUUAAGCAACAUAGAAAUCAGGCAGAACUUUUGUUUAUUUUUGUAAAUGCAUUAAAAUGAGUUAUAUAUGAACACGCGCUAUAUACGUUGUAAAUAACAAUAUGAAGUUAUUUAAGUACGUGGAAUUUAAUUACAGUCAUUACUACAAAACG